CCAAUAGCGUAUAUUAAAGUUGUUGCAGUUAAAAAGCUCGUAGUUGAAUUUCGGGAUCAGUGGGUCGGUCGUGCCACUGGUAUGCACUGGCCCUACUGGUUCCUCCUUCUUGAAGAACUGUAAUGCCAUUAAUUUGGUGUUGCAGGGAAACAAGACUGUUACUUUGAAAAAAUUAGAGUGUUUAAAGCAGGCAAUCGCUUGAAUACAUUAGCAUGGAAUAAUGAAAUAGGACGAUCGAUCCUAUUUUGUUGGUUUCUAGGAUUGACGUAAUGAUUAAUAGGGAUAGUUGGGGGCAUUAGUAUUCAAUUGUCAGAGGUGAAAUUCUUGGAUUUAUUGAAGACUAACUACUGCGAAAGCAUUUGCCAAGGAUGUUUUCAUUAAUCAAGAACGAAAGUUAGGGGAUCGAAGACGAUCAGAUACCGUCGUAGUCUUAACCAUAAACUAUGCCGACUAGGGAUCGGAUGAUGUUAAUUUUUUUAAUGACUCAUUCGGCGCCUUACG
rnacentral:rRNA from 1 species